rnacentral:rRNA from 1 species
UACGAAGGGGGCUAGCGUUGCUCGGAAUCACUGGGCGUAAAGCGCACGUAGGCGGAUUGUUAAGUCAGGGGUGAAAUCCUGGAGCUCAACUCCAGAACUGCCUUUGAUACUGGCGAUCUUGAGUCCGGGAGAGGUGAGUGGAACUGCGAGUGUAGAGGUGAAAUUCGUAGAUAUUCGCAAGAACACCAGUGGCGAAGGCGGCUCACUGGCCCGGUACUGACGCUGAGGUG